ensembl:misc_RNA
UUGAUUUGCAGCUUUUUCUUAUUCCUCAAUAUUUGGUCCACUUAGAACCAGUACAGUGCAGGCAGAGGAAAUGCUGGUUUUCCCAUACUACCCUGCCAAAUGUGCCUGAACCCUGAUGUGGAGGGACCACCUUUAGGGUAAGAGGAUAGCUCAGUCUCCAUUCCUUGUCAUUCCUUGGUCUCU